rnacentral:rRNA from 1 species
UACAGAGGGGGCUAGCGUUAUUCGGAAUUAUUGGGCGUAAAGAGCGUGUAGGCGGCCAUACAGGUCCGUUGUGAAAACUGGAGGCUUAACCUCCAGACGUCGAUGGAAACCGUAUGGCUAGAGUCCGGAAGAGGAGAGUGGAAUUCCUGGUGUAGCGGUGAAAUGCGCAGAUAUCAGGAAGAACACCCGUGGCGAAGGCGGCUCUCUGGGACGGUACUGACGCUGAGACGCGAAAGCGUGGGGAGCGAACAGG